AUGCGUGAUCAGGUCGGCCUGCACCUGGACGACUUCCCUCUCGACCACGAGUUUCCGGAGGACUACGAGCAAGAGGAAGAGGACACGUGCGACAUCGAAGGGGAGCCUUCGUUCGAGGACGAGCUCGCCAACCAAGCUGCCGGGGCGAAGCCAAAGUGCAAGAGCAAGCAUACCAAGGCAUACACGGCGGCCAAGGAGAAGCUUCUUUGCGAGUGUUGGAGAGACAUUGGGCAAGACCCCAAGAUAGGCGCCGAACAAAAGCAUUCAACUUUUUGGAUUCGUGUCCACCGUGAGUUCCAUGAAUGCAAGAAGUUUCCUCCAUACCAAAUAGUAAGCAUGCGCGGGUGGGUGUCCAUUUCGAAGCGAUGGAGGGUGAUCUAA
rnacentral:rRNA from 1 species